rnacentral:rRNA from 1 species
ACGAUGCGUAGCCGACCUGAGAGGGUGAUCGGCCACACUGGAACUGAGACACGGUCCAGACUCCUACGGGAGGCAGCAGUAGGGAAUCAUCCGCAAUGGGCGAAAGCCUGACGGUGCAACGCCGCGUGAACGAUGACGGUCUUCGGAUUGUAAAGUUCUGUUGUUAGGGAAGAAUAAGUACCGUUCGAAUAGGGCGGUACCUUGACGGUACCUAACCAGAAAGCCCCGGCUAACUACGUGCCAGCAGCCGCGGUAAUACGUAGGGGGCAAGCGUUGUCCGGAAUUAUUGGGCGUAAAGCGCGCGCAGGCGGUCUCUUAAGUCUGAUGUGAAAGCCCACGGCUCAACCGUGGAGGGUCAUUGGAAACUGGGAGACUUGAGUGUAGGAGAGGAAAGUGGAAUUCCACGUGUAGCGGUGAAAUGCGUAGAUAUGUGGAGGAACACCAGUGGCGAAGGCGACUUUCUGGCCUACAACUGACGCUGAGGCGCGAAAGCGUGGGGAGCAAACAGGAUUAGAUACCCUGGUAGUCCACGCCGUAAACGAUGAGUGCUAGGUGUUAGGGGUUUCGAUACCCUUAGUGCCGCAGUUAACACAUUAAGCACUCCGCCUGGGGAGUACGGUCGCAAGACUGAAACUCAAAGGAAUUGACGGGGGCCCGCACAAGCAGUGGAGCAUGUGGUUUAAUUCGAAGCAACGCGAAGAACCUUACCAGGUCUUGACAUCCUCUGCCACUCCUAGAGAUAGGACGUUCCCCUUCGGGGGACAGAGUGACAGGUGGUGCAUGGUUGUCGUCAGCUCGUGUCGUGAGAUGUUGGGUUAAGUCCCGCAACGAGCGCAACCCUUGACCUUAGUUGCCAGCAUUUAGUUGGGCACUCUAAGGUGACUGCCGGUGACAAACCGGAGGAAGGUGGGGAUGACGUCAAAUCAUCAUGCCCCUUAUGACCUGGGCUACACACGUGCUACAAUGGGUGGUACAAAGGGCAGCAAAGCCGCGAGGCCGAGCGAAUCCCAUAAAGCCACUCUCAGUUCGGAUUGCAGGCUGCAACUCGCCUGCAUGAAGCCGGAAUUGCUAGUAAUCGCGGAUCAGCAUGCCGCGGUGAAUACGUUCCCGGGCCUUGUACACACCGCCCGUCACACCACGAGAGCUUGUAACACCCGAAGUCGGUGAGGUAACC